rnacentral:rRNA from 1 species
AAUCAACGCUGGCGGCGUGCCUAACACAUGCAAGUCGAACGAGAAAGCUUUCUUCGGAGAGCAAGUAAAGUGGCAAACGGGUGAGUAACGCGUGGGAUAUCUACCCUGAUGAGGGGAAUAACUCUCCGAAAGGAGAGCUAAUACCGCAUAUACCGUGCAAACGGGAAAGGUCUUCGGAUCGCAUCAGGAGGAGCCCGCGUCCGAUUAGCUAGUUGGUGAGGUAAUGGCUCACCAAGGCGACGAUCGGUAGCCGGUCUGAGAGGACGGACGGCCACACUGGGACUGAGACACGGCCCAGACUCCUACGGGUGGCAG